GCAAGUCGAACGAGGUAGCAAUACUUAGUGGCAGACGGGUGAGUAACAUGUAGGUAUCUGCCCUUUGGCCUGGAAUAACACGAGGAAACUUGUGCUAAUACCGGAUAAGUCUUUACGGAGAAAGCUUUAUGCACCAUUGGAUGAGCCUGCACUUGAUUAGUUUGUUGGUGGGGUAAUGGCCUACCAAGACUGUGAUCAAUAGCUGAUUUGAGAGGAUGAUCAGCCACAUUGGGACUGAGACACGGCCCAAACUCCUACGGGAGGCAGCAGUGGGGAAUCUUGCACAAUGGAGGAAACUCUGAUGCAGCGAUGCCGCGUGAGUGAAGAAGGCCUUUGGGUUGUAAAGCUCUUUCGUCGGGGAAGAAAAUGACUGUACCCGAAUAAGAAGGUCCGGCUAACUUCGUGCCAGCAGCCGCGGUAAUACGAAGGGACCUAGCGUAGUUCGGAAUUACUGGGCUUAAAGAGUUCGUAGGUGGUUGAAAAAGUUAGUGGUGAAAUCCCAGAGCUUAACUCUGGAACUGCCAUUAAAACUUUUCAGCUAGAGUAUGAUAGAGGAAAGCAGAAUUUCUAGUGUAGAGGUGAAAUUCGUAGAUAUUAGAAAGAAUACCAAUUGCGAAGGCAGCUUUCUGGAUCAUUACUGACACUGAGGAACGAAAGCAUGGGUAGCGAAGAGGAUUAGAUACCCUCGUAGUCCAUGCCGUAAACGAUGUGUGUUAGACGUUGGAAAUUUAUUUUCAGUGUCGCAGCGAAAGCGAUAAACACACCGCCUGGGGAGUACGACCGCAAGGUUAAAACUCAAAUGAAUUGACGGGGACCCGCACAAGUAGUG
rnacentral:rRNA from 1 species